rnacentral:lncRNA from 1 species
CCGAGGGCUCCAAUUUCUCCCCAAUACUUGUCAAAAUAUGCCUGAGAUCCGAAACAACAACAUACCCAGUCCCAUCCUUGUCCAGCACCUUGAACGCAUCCCUUAGCUGGCGAUCAAACGGCUCAGGCUUCAAAUGCUUGGACAUCAGGUCCAAAAAUCUAUUAAAAUCGAAAGGAGAAUUCAAAUUUUCCUCGACGAUUAUGGAUUUGAGCUGCGCCUGAGUCGGGUUUCCUCCGAGUGAACGCAUCAGAAUUCCCAGCUCCGACGGGGCGAUCCUGCCGUCGCCGUCGGUAUCGAAAAGUGUGAAGGCUUCUUUCAUGGAGGAAACCUGGUCAUUGCUCAGAUCUUUCCCCAUUUUUUCAGGCCUUUUCUAUGACUUGUCUCUGUGUUGUUGCUGGCUUUGAAUCUGCGACUGUGAACGUUUGUUUGCGUAGAUUUUGCUGCAAGUGGAGGGGUUUGAGCGUAAUUAACUAAAGUUUAGGGGCAUCAAUUUCUAUUUUAUAAAGGGUAAUUAUGCCCUUGUUUCAUCCCCCGUUAUUUCUAAGGAAAAAGUCAGGGUAAUUAUGCAUCAAUGUUAUUUCUUAAGAAAAAGUCCCGAGUACAGAAAAUGUUGACAUAAUUCAUAUCGACGUUGAUAUGGCAGUGCAUGAUUGAGCUUUUUAAUCUCUCUCUAUGAUUCCACAUCAUGUGUUGUGUCUCAAAAUUUUCUAUCAAAAUUCCGUGCAUGAUUGUAUUUCUAAAAGAUAAUUAUAUUAUCAUCACAAAAUUUACUAUAAUUACACCACAAUUAAAAUUUAUUUUUAAUAAUUAUACCCAACAAAUUUACAAUUAUACUCUAAUCAAAUAAAAACUAAAAAUGAAAAAUCAGUACCAAGACUUGCAGGUCCCGAUGUAAACACUAUACAAGCUCCCCUCCUCCCCGGAGUAUCUUUUCUUGGAGGAAACCUGCACCCAACGCCAUUCAUGGGGAUAAAAUCUCACAUAUGACACUAGAAUAGGUUACUUUGAGUCCACGGACACUUUGAUGUUGAAAAUCAACAAGGUACUCAACGAUCAAGUCAUGUCGAUCACCAAAUUGAUGUGGGGUCAUCGAACUGCUCUUCGCAAGCCUUGAGAGGGGUAUGGUCACAUAUAGAGAUACGGAUGUUAUGAUCAACAUUGUGUUCACGAGACUUGGCAUGAGGGUGGUAUACAAGGCGAUAGUAGGGUUGGCAAUGCGCCGAGGCCCUUAAUGCCACGAGCUCAGCUUGGCUCGAGCUCGAUUCGUUGAAAUUGGGCGAGCUCGGCUCGGCUCACGAGCUCGUGGGCUGAGCCGAGCUUCGGCUCGUGGGCUCGCCUAAAUUUUUUAUUUAUUUAUAUAUAUAAAAAAUAAAGAAUAGAGUUUUAAAAAUAAAAAGUGUUAAAAAAUAAAAAUAAUUUAACGAAAACAAAUUUUUAUUUUUUUUAUUUAUAUCAUAUUGUAAUUUAUAAUAUUUUUUAUAAAGUAUAACCGUAUAAAAUAUUUAUAUAAUAAAAACGAAUUUUUUUUGAAAUACAUUUACAAAAAAUAUUUUUUUGAUUUCUUUUUAAAGUUAAUAAAGAAUAGGGUUUUGAAAAUAAAAAGUGUUAAAAAAUACAAAUAAUUUAACAAGAACAAGUUUUUAUUUUUUUUAUUUACAUCAUAUUGUAAUUUGUAAUACUUUUUAUAAAGUAUAAAAUAUUUAUAUAAUGAAAAAGAAUUAUUUUUUGAAAUACAUUUACAAAAAAUAUAUUUUUUUGAUUUCUUUUUAAAGUUAAUAAAAUAUAAACCCUCCUCCUUUAUCCGGGCUUGGGACCGGCUACAUCAAUUUUAAGUAGGCGGAGUUAAAAAUUGUACACGAACAACUUGUUGUAACGUGUACAAUUUUUAAAAAAAAUUAAAUUUAACGAUUAAAAAAUAAAUAAAUAAUUUGAUUAAUAUAAUUAAAUCAAAUAUCACUUACCUGACGACAUGCAAUUUCAGCGUAUUUAUCUUGUAGUCGAAAAUGAGCGUCCUGCCAAUCCUUCACACACAUUAACGCUUCCAAAACAUCUUCUUUCAGUCGGCUCCUGACAUCAGUCAAAACCCUUUUACCUGCACUAAAAGCAGACUCUGAAGCAACAGUGCUAACUGGAGGUGUCAAUAGAUCUUUCGCAAUUGCAGAAACAAUUGGCUAACGUCUUUCAUACUUUCGCCAGAAUUCAAUUACUUCUUCUGAAAUUUUUUUAAUUGUUCUGCCUGUUGGCAUAUUAUGAUUGAAAUAAUCAAUUAAUUCGGCAGGCAUCGCAUUUUGAGUUUCGGCCGAUGUUUGAUGAGAUGCAGAUGUAGACGACAUGACACUAGAUGUACACAUUGCAGUUGCAUCAAUAUAUAUAUAUAUAUUUCACCCAUUUUCAUUCCAAAAAAGGGGGCCAAAUGGGGUUUAUUCUUCUUUUCAUAAAAUUGUCAACAGUGUGGUGUAUCCAGAAAAAAUUGUUUAUGUUAAGAAUUUAUAUAAAACCGUGGAUAAUUAAGUAAUUCUAAUUAAGGUGAUUUAAGUAAAUAAAAAAAUUGAUUAAAGUUGUUGUGUAACAAGUAAAUUUUGUUGUAAUAAUAUCAUUACCCUUUCUAAAAUAUAUUUUUGUCUUUCUUAUUUUAAAUCACACACUAUUCAAUAAAAUAAUAUUAUACAUAAAUUCAAAACUUUUUUAUUUUAUUUUUUAGCCACACGUUCUUCAUCAAUCUAUUUCAAAAUUCAUUUUUCAAUAAACACGGGGACUCGAAUAGGCUCUAUAAUACCACCACAAAAUAAACUUAUUACACAACAAUGUUAUUGUAUACUUAAAUGAACUUAAAUAAAAUUACUUAAUUAACCAUUUAAGAAACUAUUUGGUGCCCAUUAUUUUAAGGAAAAAGAGUUUUAAAUAGUAUUUUCAAAGAGUGUAUAGCUAAAAAGUGGAAAAAAGUUUUGAUUCUGAAUGUAUAAUAUUUUAUUAUGUAAAUAUAUAGUUGAAAUCAUCCUGUAAUAUACGGUGCAAAUUCUUUAAAUGGUUCUCUUUACCCACAAUUCAUUAAAAACAUCUCUCUUUGAAAACCUUUUGAAUAACAAAACAAUAAUUCUUAGGCAAUUUAGAUUGUCGCGCACAAUUAGUAGAGGAGUCUCCAUUAAAAGCCCUAUUCAAAAUUGCAAGUUACAUAUCCAUAGACUAUAGUAGGUCUAAGUACACAAAAAUCGACACCGCACAGCUUUCUAGUAAGUGCCUGUACUUUUAGUUAAUGGUAUGUUGGAUAAUUUUCAUGCGAAAUCUGUUAGAAAAACACGAUUUUCCUAAAUUAAUAUUGACAACAUAUUAAUACAAUUAUAUUAGUUAUUUAAUAUAAUGGGCAAAAAUCAAGUGGCCUAUUUUUUGUAUGUCCAUAGACUACUCAAAUUAAUAUGGACUAAGUGAGUAGAUACCAGCUAAUAUUACUCUAAUUAAGGGAUAAUGGGAACCUUAAUUAAGUAGUAUAUAAAUGUUAUUUUGGUUAUGGUCCCCAAUAUACCAAAUCAUACACUCUUUUCCCUUCUCUCCAUCAAGAAGAGAAAUCACGGUCCCAUUGAGGAAUAAGGAGAUUUGGUUGAGGAAGAUCACAAAACCACCCUCUUCAUUUGCAUUCAUCGGUACGUAGUCGAUUGUCGCACAUAAUGUUUGCUCUAAAUUCUUAUAGGUGAUAGGUGUAUCAAGCAUUAAAGUUUUAUUGAUUUGAUCAAUUACGUAUUUAGUUCCCGAAAUAUUAUAUCGGGGGUCCAUUACGCAUGCUAAAGGAAAUAACAUACGUAGUCGAUUGUCGCAGUAAUUCCGCAACAGUAGGCAAUCGUUUACAAUGGAUACAAGUAUAUUAUUUGAAUCUGUGAAUCCUAGUAAUUUAGAAUGAUGUUAUUUAAACUUUAAUUCCAUAGCAAUUAAAAUUUCACUAAAAGUAGGAUCAUUUUUAUAUUUAUGGAAUAUUCUUGCAAUUAUAUAAAGACGUUCAAACACCAUACAACUUGUGGGAUAAUAAACGCCAGAUAAAAUCUUUGUAGUCUCAUAAAAAGAUGUCAAAAAUCGUUUAACUUUCAAAGCUAAAAUUUUAAGAUAUGAAUGAAAUAUAGAGCAGGGUGUAACGCACAGGCACCACCACAACCUUUUCAUUCACGAGAAAAGUUAGCUGCACUUGCAAGUUAGGCAAGUGCAACAUCUAAAUCGUGUGUUAUAACCUCGCUCAUGAGUACAUCAGUACAGUAAUCAUUACUCUUGCAUGUAAUCAUUAGUUGUCGCUUUGCAACAAUUAGGAGGAUAUUACAGUUCUGUACUCCUAAAUUAUCAAAUGCUGGUAUUCAUAUUAAUUACUUUUCCGAGUUCUCUGACUUCUGCUCAACUUAAGAACUUCAAUUCCACAAUCCCUCAAAUCUGCUAAUACCUAAUAUAAACGCACAAUUCAGCACACAACUACAAGAAAUUUUCACAAUCAUGCGUAACAAAUGAUUACCUAACACAGUCACAUUUCCCAGACCUUUGUAUUUGGUACCAUUUAACUAAAUUAUCAUGCAAAAAUGAAAAAUUGAAAAAAUUAAAAAACGGGAGCGAAAAACAAAACGUAAGAAAUUUGCGAUCCAUAAACUCACAUUGGCGGGAGAAAUUUCUUCUCACUUGGCAACCAUGCGGGCAAUGAAGUCCUCGUACCGGAUCUUGCCGUCGGAUCCAACCUCUACCUCCCGAAUCCACUCAUCAAACUCCGAGGGCUCCAAUUUCUCCCCAAUACUUGUCAAAAUAUGCCUGAGAUCCGAAACAACAACAUACCCAGUCCCAUCCUUGUCCAGCACCUUGAACGCAUCCCUUAGCUGGCGAUCAAACGGCUCAGGCUUCAAAUGCUUGGACAUCAGGUCCAAAAAUCUAUUAAAAUCGAAAGGAGAAUUCAAAUUUUCCUCGACGAUUAUGGAUUUGAGCUGCGCCUGAGUCGGGUUUCCUCCGAGUGAACGCAUCAGAAUUCCCAGCUCCGACGGGGCGAUCCUGCCGUCGCCGUCGGUAUC